UACGUAGGGCGCGAGCGUUAAUCGGAAUUACUGGGCGUAAAGCGUGCGCAGGCGGUUUUGUAAGUUUGUCGUGAAAGCCCCGGGCUCAACCUGGGAAUUGCGAUGAAGACUGCAAGGCUUGAAUCUGGCAGAGGGGGGUAGAAUUCCACGUGUAGCAGUGAAAUGCGUAGAGAUGUGGAGGAACACCGAUGGCGAAGGCAGCCCCCUGGGUCAAGAUUGACGCUCAUGCACGAAAGCGUGGGGAGCAAACAGG
rnacentral:rRNA from 1 species